CGGACACCAGCAGGUUUUUGACUCAUGGGCUAAAUCAAAUCCUCUCCGAUAUAAAAUAUAAUAGAGAAUAGGAAUAUGGUCACUACCAUAAUACUCUCAUUUGGAAAAUGGAAGAAUAAGAAACAAACAUCCUCUUUUCUAAAGUAAAUUAAUACAUACAUGUGAAAAGUAUCUGCUCUGCUACUCAAGAGAUUUUCCUUGAUGAAUAUUUAUGGCAGUUCUGGGUUUCGCUCUCUUGAACGUUUUUCUCUGCUUAGAAACUUCUUGGCCACAUCUGAGAUUGGACUGAGAAAGAAAAAUUAUGUCCUUAAAA
rnacentral:lncRNA from 10 species